AGUGAACGCUGGCGGUAGGCCUAACACAUGCAAGUCGAACGGCAGCACAGUAAGAGCUUGCUCUUACGGGUUGCGAGUGGCGGACGUGUGAGGAAUACAUCGGAAUCUACUUUUUCGUGGGGGAUAACGUAGGGAAACUUACGCUAAUACCGCAUACGACCUACGGUUGAAAGCAGGGGAUCUUCGGACCUUGCGCGGUUGGAUGAGCCGAUGUCGGAUUAGCUAGUUGGCUGGGUAAAGGCCCACCAAGUCGACGAUCCGUAGCUUGUCUGAGAGGCUGGUCAGCCACACUGGAACUGAGCCACGGUCAAGACUCCUACGGGAGGGAGCAGUGGGGAAUAGUGGACAAUGGGCGGAAGCCUGACCCAGUGAUACCGAGUGGGUGACGAAGGCCUUCGGGUUGUAAAGACCUUUUGUUGGGAAAGAAAAGCAGUCGGUUAAUACCAAGCUGUUCUGACGGUACCCAAAGAAUAAGCACCGGCUAACUUCGUG
rnacentral:rRNA from 1 species